rnacentral:rRNA from 1 species
GAUGAACGCUGGCGGCGUGCCUAAUACAUGCAAGUCGAGCGAACAGACGAGGAGCUUGCUCCUCUGACGUUAGCGGCGGACGGGUGAGUAACACGUGGAUAACCUACCUAUAAGACUGGGAUAACUUCGGGAAACCGGAGCUAAUACCGGAUAAUAUAUUGAACCGCAUGGUUCAAUAGUGAAAGACGGCUUUGCUGUCACUUAUAGAUGGAUCCGCGCCGCAUUAGCUAGUUGGUAAGGUAACGGCUUACCAAGGCAACGAUGCGUAGCCGACCUGAGAGGGUGAUCGGCCACACUGGAACUUAGACACGGUCCAGAGUCCUACGGGAGGCAGCAGUAGGGAAUCUGCCGCAGUGGGCGAAAACCUGACGGAGCAACGCCGCGUGAGUGAUGAAGGUCUUCCGAUCGUAAAACUCUGUUAUUAGUGAAGAACAAAUGUGUAAGUAACUAUGCACGUCUUGACGGUACCGAGUCAGAAAGCCACGGCUAACUACGUG